rnacentral:lncRNA from 1 species
GACGGUAGGUUCUGCACCAUAAUAGAUUCUCUUGAGUUAGGAUUGCUAGAAACAACCGACAGCUGAUCUAAACAAUACUAGUGAACCUAUCGAUCAACUCGCUAUAUCUUACCUAAGAAAACAUCGAUCGACACUCUUACCAUAGCGGCGAUCGACGUUCGAUCCAUAUCAAGAAGCGAUAGCUGAGGUAUUGGACUUAGUCAAUAGGUUUGAUUCAACAGCGAAAUCUGGAAUACUUUCUCAUAAUAAGUCGAGUUCUAGGAUUGACAACCUAAGUAUUCUAU